GAUGGGUACUCUUAUGACGUGUAGGGGUGUUGUUGUGAUCCAAUUUCAUGAAGAAAAAAAGCAAACAGAUUUUUAUGUAUUAUUUUGAUCAUAAAUAUAUUUAGAUUAGAUCUAAAAUGAUUUAUGAUUCAUUACAAUAAGAUAAAAUUCAGAUAUAAAAUUAUUUUAAAUCUGAAUUACAUAUUGCAUAUGAUGUAAUUGAUAUUGAUUUAAAAAUUAUCAUGGGUUAGACUUAGGGUUAGAAAUACAUAUGGACCAAGUAGAGAAAUUGAUUAAAUCUAUCAAGUGUUGAAUUAGAUUAGGUCAGUAUUUCUCUAAAUCAAUCUCAAUAAUUGAAAUUUGAUCAUGUCCAUGUGUUUGAUCCUAAUAAAUGGACCAUGAUCAUGGCUCCGUGGUUGAGCCCGAAUCUUCUGGUGUGUCCAAUCGAAACUAAUUAACCAGUUGGUGUCUAAGAUAAGUUUGGCAGAUUCGAUCAAGUGAUUUUUAAUUGGGAGCUAUUCAUCUAG
rnacentral:lncRNA from 1 species